GACGUAGGGCGCGAGCGUUGUCCGGAUUUAUUGGGCGUAAAGAGCUCGUAGGCGGUUUGUCGCGUCGUCUGUGAAAACCCAUGGCUCAACUGUGGGCUUGCGGUCGAUACGGGCAGGCUGGAGUUCGGUAGGGGAGACUGGAAUUCCUGGUGUAGCGGUGAAAUGCGCAGAUAUCAGGAGGAACACCGGUGGCGAAGGCGGGUCUCUGGGCCGAUACUGACGCUGAGGAGCGAAAGCGUGGGGAGCGAACAGG
rnacentral:rRNA from 1 species